CUUAAAUAACAAGCAGAGGGUGCUGUUUGGAUUGCACAGUAAAAAAAAAAAACUGCACUGGUGAGGUGUGAGGAAUUGGGAAACUCCUCACGCGUUUCUGUUAGGAAUUAUUAUUGUUAGAUGUAUUUCACAUUUGAUUUGUCCAAUUAUUACCACUCUGUGUUCUAUCAACGCCCACGUUGAAUGACUCUCGGUCGGUUCACAGAUGGUCGAGUGCGGUGCUGGACAAAGGUGUUAUUGGCCGUGUGCUCGGAAAACCUUCGGAUCCGACACCGCAGACUUGAGAAAAGCAGAGCGGCUUAUGAGCGCUGACCGGCCCCGAGUGGUUAUUGUUAUGUUUGGACCCACCGAGCGGAGAGAGCACCGGCUCCUGAGUGGGCGUGUGGUUGCCCCCCCCCAUUUGCCACCAUGCGAGGAGGCCCAGGUGCCUGCUUUUUUUUCCAGAGGCCACAGUGGAAACGGAGCCGUUAAGACGGCAUUCAAGCCGUCGGUAUGAGCCGAGUCAGCCCGUUUCCGCUGUGAUCAAAUAAAAGCUCAGCGAUUCGGGGAAGCAGAGCGACCCGUCAGCACAUCCUUCAAUGUGGACGUCCCCGCCGCAGGCCAUCGACCCACUGGCGCGGUGACAGGAGCAAGAGGCUGAGCACUGAGCAUCUCCAGCUGCAGCGAUGCUUCUCGGAACUGACACCGAACAACAAACGCCAAAUGUCCUCAGAAGCACAAUUGAACGCCAGCAGGAAACGGCCGUUCUUGUGAAACCGUUCCAUGCUGGAAUGAUCACUAGCGCAUUCCGAUGGUAAGGCUGCGAUAGGUGGAAGGCAGGAGAACGCAACGUGGGAAACAGAAUUGCUUCAGCGCCUCUUCAAAACACCGCAACGCAGUCUGGGGUUGACAUCACCACCUGUGUCUUUAAACUAAAGUACAGGGUGUGAGCAGCUUGUCGCUGGCGCAACUGACACGUCGCCAGCAUCCGAGGAGGUUGCGCUGUGAUCCAACGGGAAAGGCGGGUGAUACUGGUCUCUUUGAUCAGACCGGAGAGUUUCUUUUGAACAACAGUUGCGCUUUGUAGCUGCUAUUUAACACAAGGAACAUUUUUUGGUGCCUGUUCAGUGAUUUCCUGCUAUUGUGUUUUUGUGACUUUGUGACUAGUGUUAACAUUUAUUUCAUGUGCACGAAGUAGCAGCUUAUCCUUCGAACGAUAGUCACAUUGUUUGUAUAACGCCCUCCUCUAGUGAGUCACUGUGGGUGUUUCGCGUCAAACCGAAGUCUUUCACCUGAUGUACAUUGUGCUUCAUUUGUGAGAAAAAGGGAGUGGCUCAAGAAUUGCCAAGAGCUGAGUCAUCCGCUGCAAAAAUAUAGCCUUUUAUUUCCUAAAGCAUCUUAAGAGGUGUAGUUUGUGUGCAUAUAGCGUUGCUUCAUUAAAACAUGAGGUUUGUUUGUUGUGUCCACACACUGGCCUGUUUACCUCCCCCCACCGGGACCCAGUCUUUCUGAGGCCCCUAACCAAUGUGAGGUACUGAGCCAGAUCCCAAACAUAAACUCCAACCCCAGCCACGGAAGAGUUCUGCUCUGGUUGGGCCUCGGGCCCUCAGGACACACAGAGCCAUCUUUUCACGGGACUCCACAAACACGCCGGGCCCGGAGAAGCGGAGGGGGGGGGGGACUAUGGAAACUGGCAUCGACCACAGGACCUAGUUUCUAGGUUUCCCUGUUCUCGGAAUCAGACCCCGAGUCCUGCAGACGCCGGCGGAGCAGCGGAGACAGAGGUUGUGGCGCUCUGAGGGCCCUCUGAUUGAUCGGAGAGAAACAGAGCGGCCAUUCUCGUCAGGCCCGGCGCUUGAAUGCUAACAAGCACGAAAGUGCGUCCUCACCGCAAAGAAAUGGAUGGAGGAGUUUUGUGAGAUGGGGUAGUCGACUGGGUAAAUACGUGAGAGCAACUGGAUUCCUCGUGAUACGCCAUGGGAACCAAAUCUUCAGCGGGAGGGAGUUGAUGUCUCUUUGAUCUGCAUCGUCAUGGAGCGCGUACUGUAAAGGCUAACAACGAGAGACAGUCCGGAGACCGAGCUCUUCCUCGGGAAUGCUGACAUUUAGGUGCAUG
ensembl:lncRNA